UUAAAGGCAUUGACAGGAAGGAGUACUUAAGGCACUGUUAUUUCAGAGAGCAGAUGGCUGGUGUAAGUCUGCAUAACAUCUUAAGGAAGCAGUCCCCGAGUCGUGGUUGCGAACGUGUUUUGAUUAUUAGCAGCCAACGGAGUGAUUCACGUUACAGAAUUUAUGACAGUGAUGGCUGUCAACAGAGUGCAGGUUUUUCCUGAAAUUAGGUGGUACCACGGACACCGGCUUAUGAAUGUUCGCCCUAAGC
rnacentral:ncRNA from 1 species